rnacentral:rRNA from 1 species
CCAUCAUUAAGUUGGGCACUCUAAGUUGACUGCCGGUGACAAACCGGAGGAAGGUGGGGAUGACGUCAAAUCAUCAUGCCCCUUAUGAUUUGGGCUACACACGUGCUACAAUGGACAAUACAAAGGGCAGCAAAACCGCGAGGUCAAGCAAAUCCCAUAAAGUUGUUCUCAGUUCGGAUUGUAGUCUGCAACUCGACUACAUGAAGCUGGAAUCGCUAGUAAUCGUAGAUCAGCAUGCUACGGUGAAUACGUUCCCGGGUCUUGUACACACCGCCCGUCACACCACGAGAGUUUGUAACACCCGAAGCCGGUGGAGUAACCAUUUUGGAGCUAGCCGUCGAAGGUGGGACAAAUGAUUGGGGUGAAGUCGUAACAAGGUAGCCGUAUCGGAAGGUGCGGCUGGAUCACCUCCUUU